UUCUAGCCCUGAUGGUCCCGAACUAUCGGGAGGCAUCCUUUUUCUGUCCUCCGCGGCGGACAGGAAAAGAUAUAGCGGACAGCAGGAAAUAGC
rnacentral:sRNA from 3 species